rnacentral:rRNA from 1 species
UACGUAGGGUGCGAGCGUUGUCCGGAAUUAUUGGGCGUAAAGAGCUCGUAGGCGGUGUGUCGCGUCGGCCGUGAAAACCUGGGGCUUAACUCUGGGCGUGCGGUCGAUACGGGCAUCACUAGAGUUCGGCAGGGGAGACUGGAAUUCCUGGUGUAGCGGUGAAAUGCGCAGAUAUCGGGAGGAACACCAAUGGCGAAGGCAGCUCGCUGGGACGGUACUGACGCUGAGGCGCGAAAGCGUGGGGAGCAAACAGG